rnacentral:lncRNA from 1 species
AAUUAGAAGUCAUCACUUUGAUUACAUGAAAUCACUGGAGUAAUGAUAGUUGAAUAAGAAAUAUAUUGGUAUAUCACAUGCUUCAUAGACAAGAAAAACAGAAUCUUAAUUAUUUCAAGUUUGCUAUACCAUUUUCUGGGUUAUUCCUCAGUAUGUCACGACCCUGUAAGCCUAUGGUAUAUUUAAAUUUCAAAAAAAAUUUUUUUUUUUGAUGAGGAAGUUUGGCUCUGAGCUAACAUCUUUGGCAAUCUUCCUCUUGUUUGUAUGUGGGACGCCACCACAGCACCUGGGAUCUGAACCCAGGAACCCCAGACUGCCAAAGCAGAACAUGCAAACUUAACAACUACUCCACCAGGCCGGUCCUCAAAAAAUAUUUUGAUGCAACCAAAAAACUCUAAAAGCAUUCCAGUGCCCACCUGGUCCCCCAUUCAGUAACACAUGACUACAUAACCUAGUCAUCCACUUCGUCAUCAAAAACUGGCAUAUCUCAUGCAACAGCAGUAACAUUCCAAACAAGCAGAUGAGAAGGAGUUGGAGAAGAAACAAAUUCUGCUUGUGUUUCUGUUUCCAUAGCUAAAGUCUGAUCAGGAGAAAACAUUUUUUUCUUAUACUUCCACGUCUCAUAAGGCAAGAAACAUACAUGGUGCAAAUGCAGACUCUCCUCUUCCUUUCUUUUUCUAAUUUUCUCAUAAAUCAGGAGGGUAUAUAUCAAAUAAGUGGUCAAGUCUAAAGGGAUAUUGCUAUGGUAUUAUGGAGGGAAACAUUUUAUUUUUUAGCAGAAACCUUUGUAAUAUAACUUUUGAAUUAAAGCAAAGUUCCUUCAGUUUGCAUUUUAUUAUGUAUUUUUAUGACUGGAAAGUAUAGUAACAUGAUGCAGAAAUUCUUUCAAUUACACUAUUAAAAACAUAUUUUCUCAAUCUCUCAUAUAUUACAUACGUUGCUACUUGUCAGCUACUUGACAUUCAUAACUAGAAUAUGUAAAAUUCUUAAUAGAAAUCUAGUAUCCCAGGGAUCUUUUUAACAACAUGGGUGAAUUUAAGAGGAUAUAAAUAUUUCACAUUUGAGCAAAACUUUUACAGCUUAGGAUGGUUUCCUGAUUUAUGUGGGGGUUUCUUUUCUGCCUCAUUUUCCUUUUAAUAAAGAUUGAGGCCAACAGUCCACCCACUGAAGUCUAUCUUUUGUAGACAGCCUUCCUUCCAGAUUUCAGGUGCAUGAAAUUCUCUAUCUUGUUAAAUCUUCCCCUGAGGGAAAGAACAUUUGAAGUGGCCCCAAAUGCAUUAGUAAAUUCUCUUUCAGAGGGAUAGUUGAAGAAAAUAUAAAGUGUUACUUUUUCUCUUCUUCUCCCAUAAGAUCUCUAGGUUCGUAACUGCUGAGGUGGGAGUGGCAAACACAGGGGUUAGCAUCCAGAUUUACAGAGGUCCAAGCCCACAAGUGUCACAGCUCAUCUGAGUGCUGCCACUGUGCAGAUAGCUGUGAGAUGUAUCCAUUAGCUUCAACUUAUGAAAACACAGGACAGACUCCAACCUCCAGCAGUUUU